GGUCAAGCGAAUAAGCGCACACGGUGGAUGCCUUGGCGGUCAGAGGCGAUGAAGGACGUGGCAGCCUGCGAAAAGUAUCGGGGAGCUGGCAACAAGCUUUGAUCCGGUAAUGUCCGAAUGGGGAAACCCACCCGCUUGCGGGUAUCCUGCAGUGAAUA
rnacentral:rRNA from 1 species